UUGUGGGGCUGGAGGACUCAGUUAAGGUGCUGGAGGACCUUGGGUGUGGGGCUGGGGGAUUCAUGGUGAUGGUGAACUUGGAUGUGGGGCCAGAGGAUUCACUUAUGGGGCUGGAGGACUUGGAUGUACGUCUGGAGGAUUGGGAAGUGGGGCUGGAGGUCCGGGGUGUGGGGCUGGAGGAUUCAGGGGACUGGGGAACUGGGAUGUGGGGCUGGAGCACUGGGAUGUGGGGCUGGAGCACUGGGAUGUCGGGCUGGAGGACCUCGGUGUGGAGCUGGAGGACUCACUUAUGGGGCUGGAGGACUGGGAUGUAGGGCUGGGGGACUCAAUUAUGGGGCUGGAGGACUUGGGGGUGGCCCUGGAGGACUGGGAUGUGGGGCUGGAGGACUGGGAUGUGGGGCUGGAGGACUGGGAUGUGGGGCUGGAGGACUGGGAUGUGGGGCUGGAGGACUG
rnacentral:lncRNA from 1 species